rnacentral:rRNA from 1 species
UACGUAGGUGGCAAGCGUUGUCCGGAUUUACUGGGCGUAAAGAGCGCGCAGGCGGUCGAAUAAGUCGAAUGUGAAAGCCCCCGGCUCAACUGGGGAGGGUCACUUGAUACUGGUCGACUCGAAGGCGGGAGAGGGAAGUGGAAUUCCCGGUGUAGUGGUGAAAUGCGUAGAUAUCGGGAGGAACACCAGUGGCGAAGGCGACUUCCUGGCCCGUUCUUGACGCUGAGGCGCGAAAGCUAGGGGAGCAAACGGG